UAAGGGCGCACGGUGGAUGCCUUGGCACUAGAAGCCGAUGAAGGACGUUACUAACGACGAUAUGCUUUGGGGAGCUGUAAGUAAGCUUUGAUCCAGAGAUUUCCGAAUGGGGAAACCCAGCAUGAGUUAUGUCAUGUUAUCGAUAUGUGAAUACAUAGCAUAUCAGAAGGCACACCCGGAGAACUGAAACAUCUUAGUACCCGGAGGAAGAGAAAGAAAAUUCGAUUCCCUUAGUAGCGGCGAGCGAAACGGGAAGAGCCCAAACCAACAAGCUUGCUUGUUGGGGUUGUAGGACACUCUAUACGGAGUUACAAAGGACGACAUUAGACGAAUCAUCUGGAAAGAUGAAUCAAAGAAGGUAAUAAUCCUGUAGUCGAAAAUGUUGUCUCUCUUGAGUGGAUCCUGAGUACGACGGAGCACGUGAAAUUCCGUCGGAAUCUGGGAGGACCAUCUCCUAAGGCUAAAUACUCUCUAGUGACCGAUAGUGAACCAGUACCGUGAGGGAAAGGUGAAAAGCACCCCGGGAGGGGAGUGAAAUAGAACCUGAAACCGUGUGCUUACAAGUAGUCAGAGCCCGUUAAUGGGUGAUGGCGUGCCUUUUGUAGAAUGAACCGGCGAGUUACGAUUUGAUGCAAGGUUAAGCAGUAAAUGUGGAGCCGUAGCGAAAGCGAGUCUGAAUAGGGCGUUUAGUAUUUGGUCGUAGACCCGAAACCAGGUGAUCUACCCUUGGUCAGGUUGAAGUUCAGGUAACACUGAAUGGAGGACCGAACCGACUUACGUUGAAAAGUGAGCGGAUGAACUGAGGGUAGCGGAGAAAUUCCAAUCGAACCUGGAGAUAGCUGGUUCUCUCCGAAAUAGCUUUAGGGCUAGCCUCAAGUGAUGAUUAUUGGAGGUAGAGCACUGUUUGGACGAGGGGCCCCUCUCGGGUUACCGAAUUCAGACAAACUCCGAAUGCCAAUUAAUUUAACUUGGGAGUCAGAACAUGGGUGAUAAGGUCCGUGUUCGAAAGGGAAACAGCCCAGACCACCAGCUAAGGUCCCAAAAUAUAUGUUAAGUGGAAAAGGAUGUGGCGUUGCCCAGACAACUAGGAUGUUGGCUUAGAAGCAGCCAUCAUUUAAAGAGUGCGUAAUAGCUCACUAGUCGAGUGACACUGCGCCGAAAAUGUACCGGGGCUAAACAUAUUACCGAAGCUGUGGAUUGUCCUUUGGACAAUGGUAGGAGAGCGUUCUAAGGGCGUUGAAGCAUGAUCGUAAGGACAUGUGGAGCGCUUAGAAGUGAGAAUGCCGGUGUGAGUAGCGAAAGACGGGUGAGAAUCCCGUCCACCGAUUGACUAAGGUUUCCAGAGGAAGGCUCGUCCGCUCUGGGUUAGUCGGGUCCUAAGCUGAGGCCGACAGGCGUAGGCGAUGGAUAACAGGUUGAUAUUCCUGUACCACCUAUAAUCGUUUUAAUCGAUGGGGGGACGCAGUAGGAUAGGCGAAGCGUGCGAUUGGAUUGCACGUCUAAGCAGUAAGGCUGAGUAUUAGGCAAAUCCGGUACUCGUUAAGGCUGAGCUGUGAUGGGGAGAAGACAUUGUGUCUUCGAGUCGUUGAUUUCACACUGCCGAGAAAAGCCUCUAGAUAGAAAAUAGGUGCCCGUACCGCAAACCGACACAGGUAGUCAAGAUGAGAAUUCUAAGGUGAGCGAGCGAACUCUCGUUAAGGAACUCGGCAAAAUGACCCCGUAACUUCGGGAGAAGGGGUGCUCUUUAGGGUUAACGCCCAGAAGAGCCGCAGUGAAUAGGCCCAAGCGACUGUUUAUCAAAAACACAGGUCUCUGCUAAACCGUAAGGUGAUGUAUAGGGGCUGACGCCUGCCCGGUGCUGGAAGGUUAAGAGGAGUGGUUAGCUUCUGCGAAGCUACGAAUCGAAGCCCCAGUAAACGGCGGCCGUAACUAUAACGGUCCUAAGGUAGCGAAAUUCCUUGUCGGGUAAGUUCCGACCCGCACGAAAGGCGUAACGAUUUGGGCACUGUCUCAACGAGAGACUCGGUGAAAUCAUAGUACCUGUGAAGAUGCAGGUUACCCGCGACAGGACGGAAAGACCCCGUGGAGCUUUACUGUAGCC
rnacentral:rRNA from 1 species